rnacentral:rRNA from 1 species
GAUGAACGCUGGCGGCGUGCCUAAUACAUGCAAGUCGAGCGAACAGACGAGGAGCUUGCUCCUUUGACGUUAGCGGCGGACGGGUGAGUAACACGUGGAUAACCUACCUAUAAGACUGGGAUAACUUCGGGAAACCGGAGCUAAUACCGGAUAACAUGUUGAACCGCAUGGUUCAACAGUGAAAGACGGUCUUGCUGUCACUUAUAGAUGGAUCCGCGCCGCAUUAGCUAGUUGGUAAGGUAACGGCUUACCAAGGCAACGAUGCGUAGCCGACCUGAGAGGGUGAUCGGCCACACUGGAACUGAGACACGGUCCAGACUCCUACGGGAGGCAGCAGUAGGGAAUCUUCCGCAAUGGGCGAAAGCCUGACGGAGCAACGCCGCGUGAGUGAAGAAGGUCUUCGGAUCGUAAAACUCUGUUAUUAGGGAAGAACAAAUGUAUAAGUAACUAUGCACGUCUUGACGGUACCUAAUCAGAAAGCCACGGCUAACUACGUG